CUGAUUGAAAAAGCUGAUGGCUUUAAUGGUGUUUUCCCUCAACAUGUGGCUGUGCUUUUAUUAACGAUGUUGAUUAGAUUGGUAAGAUGUGAUUGCAUUAAGCUAAGGAUGUUAUUUGUAGUAAAUAUGCUAUUUUUGUGUGAAGUGGGAAAUCUGGGUGUUGUUAUAUUCAUCUAGCUACGCCAUUUUUACAUCUCAUUUAUACUGUGGCAUAGUUAUUGCAAAAUUUCUGUUGAUUUGUAAAAGCUGUGAUGUUGAUUUUCUAUAGAUCUUUACUUUUCAUUUGUUUUAUUUUGUUUCUGGCUCACUGUGCAUGUCCGUUUGGGUGUUUCUCUCUGUUGGAUUAAUG
rnacentral:misc_RNA from 1 species